GAUUGUCAAUAUGAAGAAUGAGAAAAUUCAAUUUUACUCCUGGAAUAUACACUUUCUGAUUGUUGGAAGAGGGUAUCAUAUUUAAAGUUCCCAAGGUGGAUUCACCCUAACGGUGCACACAGAAGAAUCACUUUAAUUGCUGGGCUAGAUUUGGAGAACAUGUAGCCAAGAAUCUUCUUCUUUUUGUUGAGGUUGAAAACCAUUUCUGCAUCUCAUCCUGUGUGAUUCGUUUCAAUAUUCUUCCAUCAAGUCCAUAUAGAUGAUCUAUCUAAACUAUUGAAGUGUUUCCUCUAUAUUUUUAUUUUUUCUGUUUGUUAUAUUUUGUUACAACAUGAGCAGACCAACUUUUUAGUCAUAUAUGUCUGACACUGUCUGCAUUUAAGAAAACCUUAUUGAUUGAUCUAUGUAAUAGACAGACUUUGAUUGUCUUUGAUAUCAAGAUGGGUCAAAUUUUCUUCUGGCUUAUUUUCCUUCUGCUCUUUUUCAUUGUUUUCUGAAGCCUAAAGGUUACUUGUUCUUCAUCACCUAAUUCUAAAUUUGUUCAAAAUAAACUAUUUUAAAUCAGCU